rnacentral:ribozyme from 24 species
GCCGCUCGAAACUUUGCACACCUCUACGUGGUGGGCGGCAGGCAAUGCUAGUAUAGUGGCUAAGAAUGCAAAG